rnacentral:misc_RNA from 1 species
GAAAUGCGAUACGUAAUGUGAAUUGCAGAUUCCGUGAAUCAUCAAAUCUUUGAACGCAUAUUGCGCUCAUAGGUAUUCCUGUGAGCAUGCUUGUUUGAGUGUCAGUAUCAUUUUCAACUACAAUCUUUUUUGAUUAAUGGUUGGUUUUGGAUCUUUCUCAAGUCGCAAGACAUGAGUGAUCUUAAAUGUAGAGUCAAUGUAAAAGUCAUUUACUUUUAAGUGUGAUAAUGGUGUUUACAUCUUUUUCUUAACUUUUCAAGUAAUAUUUUACUUUGACCAUACUGAUAUCGGUUAGAUGUCAAACCCACUAGGGAGGAGGUAAAACUUCUCUUGAAACUUGACCUCAAAUCAAGCAAGACUACCCGCUGAACUUAA